AAAAAAACUUUCAAUAUAUGCACAAACAUGAAAGUCUGGCAUUUUAAAACCCAAAAUCCUUUGUUUUCUAGUGUAACCUAAGUAAAUAAUUUGGUGAUGGGACCUGUUUCAGAACUGCUGUUUCUAAUAUCCUCUGAACAUUUCUCCAAGAAGGAGGUGAAUAUUCCUGUGUGAUUAAACCACAAUGAAUAAGAAGGAUGAAAGAUCAUUAACCCUGCAGGGAAAUCCUAACACUGAUGCUUCCAUCCACAGAUACAACAUUCACUUUUAAGUGAGUACCAGUCUGAUAUGAGUUGCUGAAGAUGGGUGAGCUGAGGAAGAAGCAAAUGAUGUUGGUGCUGUUAAGAUACUGGAAAUGGCCAGUUCUGCUGUGCAAAAGGGGCAGGACAAACAGCAUUCCCCGCAGAGAAUGCUUAUUAAGCAGCAUUUCUCAGUGGGAUAGUGCGAAACAGGCUCUUUUUCGUCUUCCCUCGUUGCCUGUUGGUAUUGAUUUACAAAGUCCUAAAUGGCUCAAGACUUUUCUGUCUAAGAGAGCUUCACAGCUGUGAUCAGGAGCAGUGCUUACAGUAGAGUCCCCAUCAUUGUAAAAGAAAAAGGGUAGCAUGAUAGAGCGUUCUCUCUACGGGGACAGAUUUGAAAAUGCUUCUCGUGUUUGCUUUGAAACAAUGUGGUGCAUGGCUGAUAUUUAGGGCACGCUAUUUGAGGGAAUCCAUGAAUGCCCCUAGAAAAGGAAGGAAGAAAUAAGGGGGGGUUGAUUAUGAUGAUUUGUUGGAUCUCUUUUUGUUCUGAGAUUUGUUGGCAGGCUUUGCUACUAAUUUGAUCUCAUUUGUUUUGGUAAUUUGAUCUUUUGUUUUUGUAAUUCAUGGAAAAGUCACUAGAAAGAUGCUGCCUUAGAACAUAUUUAUACAUUUAAGAAAUAACAGUGAGUCUUUAAUAGAUAUUGCUAAAUACCAUUGAAAUUGAUGGAAUUUUAUUUCUAGGGGAUGAUUUUAAACAUCUGUAGGAAACAUUUUAGAAGACUUGAUGACAUAAUAUCAUAAUCAUUAUUGUCUUGUGUUUUCUAUUAGACUCAUAUUUGUGUCUUUGAAGUAAAGACACUAAAAUAUUGACAUUUCUUUUUCUGCCUUGCUAGAUAGAAAGUUCUUUGAGACAUGCGAUUGUUUGAUUGGAGAUGGGCAUUAAAAUCCAGUGUUCUCAAAAGGCUAUGUCUGGCUUUAUGAACUAUUUCUUUGUUUGAUUAUGUUGUUGCCUGUUGGAAACUUG
rnacentral:lncRNA from 1 species